AAAAGUUCCCCUAUUAGAAAACAACUGCACAAAAUAGAAUAAAAAUUAACGAGAAUAAAGAUUUUGAUAUACUCAAGGAAGAAUGAGUCAAGGAAAAAAGAGUACAGAAAAAUGUCCCCUAUUGGUAAACCUUUGACUUGGAGCUGGUAAAACCUGCCUUGACCAGACUGCACCAUGUUACAAUUCCUUGUUAAAUUUUUAGUCCAUGCCCUAAAAGGGUUGAUGAGAUCCAACAAAAACACACAAAUAAAACAAGGACACUUGUUCCAUUAAACAAGUGGAAAUUUAAUACGACAAAAAAACAAGUUAAAGAGGGAAGUAGCGCAAAAUUCUGAAACAUCACAUAUAAAAGACUAGUGUUGCUUGAACUUCAUAUUCCUGGAAUGACCCAAAAUAAGGUUCUCAGACCAAACACUCAAAAUGCAAUGCAACAUAAAAAAAUACAAGAAAAGGCAAAAAAAAAAAAAUAGGUAAUGAAUGAAACAAUCCUUGGUUGAUUCUAGUCUAAAUAUGCUCCUUUAUUUAUUUGGAGAGAUCCUAGAUGAGAAGGUACCACUAAACUAGCAGCACGAAUAAACUUGGGACUGUCGCUCCAUUAAACAAAUGAAAGUGUUUAAAACAGCUAUGCAGAAACUUAGCUCACAACAAAUUUCAGAGGCUCAAGUGCAGAAGACUCCAAUGUUCGAAGUCCUAACACAGAUUGGAAUUGAAACUUAAGACUAAACAUCAUAUGCAGGUGAAAGGAAGGAGUAGGAAAUAUUAUCAAGCACUCCCCAGCUUAAGCCUGCUUAGCAUAUAUCCAUAAACAUAACAUAAGGAUCCUGAAAAAAUACACAAGCAAGCAGCAGAACAGACACCAGUCACAAUUUCACAGAAUCAAGGAUUAAAAUGUAAAAAUAGUCACAAAAUACUUGUACAUUGUUCUUGAAAACAUCCUUGCCUACAAACCCCUACACCGAGUUAAAAGAGGACUGCAAGUUCAAAAGCCUCGUGUAAGAAAAAA